GGCUGUGCGGCUGCAGAGCCGGUGGCAGGAGCUGAGUGAGAGAGAGCGUCAGGCCCAGCAGCAGAACAGGCAGCUGCUGCAGGAGUUUGACAGAGCCCAGGACACUCUGAGAGACAUGGUCACCCGCAACGCCGCUAUGAAUACCAUAAAAGUGGAGUAUGAAAGGUAUCUGGAGGAGAGCUUCCCUCGCUGGCAGCAGCAGCUCAAACAGAAGACACUAUCUGCCCAACGCAAGCGAUUGGAGCAGCACCUGAAGGAGUGCCUGAGGAGUAUGGAGGAGGACAAUGCUGAAGAGAGGGGCUCCAGACCCCCCAUUGG